ensembl:miRNA MIR9826 microRNA mir-9826
UCAUUUAGGGGGUGAAUCAUGUCGGACACAGGUUAUCAAUCUACAUAAUCUAUGGGGACAAGAAUCCUGACUUCACGAGAUGGU